AUGGCUGUGGGACAAGGGGCAAGACACAAGCAGACAAAUAAGACCAACUCAGCACACUUGAUUAGGCUGUGGUUUAAUAAAACAAAGCAACCACAACUAACCUGCACCAAACCUCUGAGAGACAGCAAAGUCCAUAAACUGUGAACCUUGCCAUUGUCAAAGGAUGUGGAAUUGUGGGAAAUACAAAAUACAUUGCUUACAAUUCUCUGACUGAUGAAGGACAUGCACUCAGAUGUCUUCAGAAUCAGAGAAUUAUGGAUGGUUGGAACUUGGGGGGGCCCUUGGAUUGUAUCUAUUUCAGCUUCCUCAUUUUUAAAGCUUGAUAAUCUGGGGGUUGGAAAGGGGAAAAUAGUUUGCCUAAGGUAAGAGUUCAAAUUACUGAUAGAGCUUAUAGCUGUGACUUCUAACCUAAAUAUUUUUCUUCUCUUGUGUUUCCAUAUGCGCUAAAAGUUUCACAUAGUUGUGUCCACUUUAGGAAACCCGGAAUUCAUUUAUUGCAUAUGAUGAAGUCAAGGUUGCUAAGUGAUAUACCAAGGAUACUCAAUUUUGUCCCUUUCCAGAAGGAACUACUAAGAUUAUGGUGAGCUGUAGGUUUCAGAUGUAUAUAAAACAAUAUAACAAUAUUAGGCCUUUCAUCUAGACUACAGUUUAUCAGCAGUUUCCUUUCUAGGAAUCAGUCAUAGCUAUAGGCCCUACAGGGACUCUUCUGCAGUGCCUUCACCUCCAGAUAUAUCCAAAGUUGUUUCUAGUGCAUCCUUAAAUUGCAGUGACUCAUAGCAACAAUUGUUUACUGAGCCCUCCUGACUGGCCAUGGGAUGACAGUAGUUAACAACAGGUCAGACAUGGUCUCUGUUGUCAUGGAGCUUAUGCCAAAGUGGCGAAUGACAGUCACUAAGCAUGUCUAUUACAAGUAUAAUUAAUUUAACAAGGAAGACAAAUUAGUCCUUCAUGUGUUCCAGAAGGCAAGGCCCCUAGUGUGGUUGGUCUGGUGGAGCUGAACUGCAAAACUGUGUGGAGAUGCUUAUGUGCUAGACACCAAUUGUUUUAUCCCUCCAGUAUAUCCCCUUUUUUCCUCUUAAGUCCGUGAUUUCUGAAGGAGUUGCUGUGUCUUACAUCAGUGCUUUUCAAACUACUUAAAAAUUUAAAUUUCUAAUCUGUCACAAAUUGACAUCCUGACAAAAUACAAAAUCACCUGCUUGAGUGUCACAGGCAUGUCAAAUUGUUAUAAAUGUUUAGAAAUAUUUAUUCUUGAUUUCGGUACCAGAACUCUUCAGGUGGGUAACACAUAGUUUGUGGGCCAGCUUGGUACACAGGCCCUACUUUGAGUAGUAAUAUUGACCUUGAUCUCUCAGGCCCAGACUUUACACCUGGUGCCCUUGACCAUGGCAAAUUAAUCCAGCAUGGGCAUCUGAGUCAAACUGGGCAGAUGAGACCCUUAUACAGAAUGUUUGUGCUGGACACAGAGAGCAUCAGGCCAGUCUCUCUCCAGGGGCUGAAAGUGUAAGAUGCUGUCCUUGGGAGUCCGUGGUUUCCUUCAGGUGGUGAGCUGCUGUAUAAUGGCAAGCAGAUGAAACCCAACAGUGAGGUAGAGAGCCCUGACAGUGUUUGAGCUCCUGACUCCAGCUUUUCCUAUGGUCCACAUACAUUCCUUCCUUAGGUUUCAGGUGCUAUCCCAGCACCAUUGUUAUUAUUAUUAUUUUUAAAUCCCUACCUGUUUGAACUAAUUCAGGUUGGGGUUCUGUUACUUGAAAUCAAGUGGUUCUAACUUAUGGAAGAUGGUUUCAUCAGUGUCUAGACAUGCUAACCUUUAAAGUCUUAUUGUUUUUGGAGAGUUUCCACCCCUCCAGGUUCGAAGCCAUUACCAGAGUGCUGCUGAAGCCCCUUGCAGAUGUGAGGGGACCUCUCAUGCCAAGUCUUAUGGCUGCAAAGACAUCGCAUUCCACAGUGUGGUGUCAGAGAAGAGGUAAAGGGCAUAAUUUUUCUUUUUUGGGAAAUUGCUGAUUUUUUUUCCCUAGUUAUAUAAGCAAUAACUGUUCAAUAUAAAAAUUUCAGGAUGUAUAGAAAACCAUAAACAGGAAAUGAAAAACAAUAACCUGUUAUUCCAACUCUUGGAGAUAGCCACCUUUAGCAUCCUGGUGGGUAGUUUUCCAGGAAGGAAUUUUUUAAAAAGGAGAAACAAAACCCUAAUGAGGCUCCUCCUGUUACCUAGACCCAAGGGAGCAAGUCAGAAGCCAGCUAGAAAUGCAGAUGGAGACCUUGCCAAGUUUUAACUAGAAGGGGCUUGUGGGGUACAUUCAAAGGAGGUGUCAUUCCUACCCUCAGUGAGACCAGUUAAUAACAUCCAGGCAAAAUUAAAAUUUGGGAAUGGAAAAAAAACAGGAGAAAUGCUUAACACUUUUUUUUUUUCUCUUUGAAGGAGAUACUGAGGGAAUCUGCCUAUAGGGCUGUAGGCAAAGGGCUCAGAGGAAACUGUAAACAAAACAGAGUUCUGUCCAGCCCUAGUUUUCAUAGGCAGUUGCUACUUUUUAGUGAAAGCUAGUAAGGAAUUUUCAGACAUUCAAAAAUGUAAUCCAUGGGGAAAAAACCCCUACAAUGUAAGUAAUAAAAUUAUCACCCAUUUUAUGGUUGAAGAAAUGGAGACUCACGUGAGGUAACUUGCCUAAGGACACACACCAAGGGAAAGGAGGCAGAGCUGGGAGUCAAAUCCAAAAUUGCCUCAAAAUCAUUACUUUUCCAUCACAGCACAUUGUUUUGAGGCACCUUAUUCUGGAAAAACAGGUAAAGUCCUGGCUUCCAUCAAGGUACAAGGAUCUGUAUACUCUUACAGAAUGUAUCCUCCAAAUUUGGAGACUCAACCAUAAACUAUCAUCCUCCGAAAUGGAUGCUAAGAAUGUGGAAGAAAACAUUCUCCAAAUCUUCUUAGGGAAUAAGCUGGCCUGGUAGAUUAUUUAUAAAUGUAACUCUCAAGAUGACAGCAUUCCCAUCUCCUCCAGCAGUCCUGGGAGAGAACUCUCUCCAGUCACCUUGGGAAGAUUUCCCUCUCCUACAACAGCUAACAUCAGUGGAGCUGCCAGCAUAUUCACUCUAAGGACACAACAAAAGGCACUAUCUUUGAAGAGCGUGAACCCUUACCAGAUGGAAUCUGCUGACACCUUGAUCUUGGACUUCCCAGCCUCCAGAACUGUGAGAAUAAAUUUCUGUUGUUUAUACAUUACCCAACCUAAGAUAAUCUUCUUAUAGCAGCAGGAACCAUCUAAGACAUCCUCUAAGGUGAGAUGCAACUACAACUCUGAUGAUGUGUCUCCCCACCAUGAAAUGAUGCUGCACCACUGACUAGGCCAUCCUAGGGCAUGAUGCUUUGUGGUAGCUGCCUCUGCCAUCUAAAUGGGGACCACUACAGCCACAAGCUGAGCAGGCAUUCUGGUUCCUAGCUUUUCUCAUUGAGAAAUCAGGGCAAGCAGCCUCAUUUACCUAAGUUGCAGGUUCUCUUGAGCUGUGUAGGCCCAUUCUCAGCUCCCUGUGGUGUCUUCUUCAUAUGUACAAUAACGUGUAAACAUUUAGAUGUUUGUCUACAUAUUUGAAGAGGCAUGCUGAUGCUGAAAUAUUUUUCUCUUUUGAAGAGAGGGAAAGCAGCUUGACUGAAAACCAAUAGACUCCCCAACUUUAUAACUAACUUAUAAUCACUUCACCUUCUAGGGCUGGUUUCCUCUACCAGAAAAUGGGGAAAGACAAACUGGUUUCGCAACCAGUGAAACCAUUCAGCCAAUAGCGAGAAAUAAACAGACAAGCUCCUUUAAAAAUGAUACUUAUGAGAAGUCUCAUUUUUUUCCCUUAUGGAUUUUUGAUUUAGAUUUUGUGAAGGUUUUGUGAAACUGUUCUCUGGUUAAAUGUGGUUUGGUUUAAAACUUCAUUCCUGUGUCUGUAAAUAUGAUUUAUAGGUUGAUAGGAAACUCUGUAACUCUCCAGUGGCUGUUGUUUUUACACACUGAAGCAGAAAGGGGAAAAUGUAGAUAGUCAUAUAAAAAAAAA
rnacentral:lncRNA from 1 species